rnacentral:rRNA from 1 species
AAAUUGAAGAGUUUGAUCAUGGCUCAGAUUGAACGCUGGCGGCAGGCCUAACACAUGCAAGUCGAACGGUAACAGGAAGCAGCUUGCUGCUUCGCUGACGAGUGGCGGACGGGUGAGUAAUGUCUGGGAAACUGCCUGAUGGAGGGGGAUAACUACUGGAAACGGUGGCUAAUACCGCAUAACGUCGCAAGACCAAAGAGGGGGACCUUCGGGCCUCUUGCCAUCAGAUGUGCCCAGAUGGGAUUAGCUUGUUGGUGAGGUAACGGCUCACCAAGGCGACGAUCCCUAGCUGGUCUGAGAGGAUGACCAGCCACACUGGAACUGAGACACGGUCCAGACUCCUACGGGAGGCAGCAGUGGGGAAUAUUGCACAAUGGGCGCAAGCCUGAUGCAGCCAUGCCGCGUGUAUGAAGAAGGCCUUCGGGUUGUAAAGUACUUUCAGCGGGGAGGAAGGUGUUGUGGUUAAUAACCGCAGCAAUUGACGUUACCCGCAGAAGAAGCACCGGCUAACUCCGUGCCAGCAGCCGCGGUAAUACGGAGGGUGCAAGCGUUAAUCGGAAUUACUGGGCGUAAAGCGCACGCAGGCGGUCUGUCAAGUCGGAUGUGAAAUCCCCGGGCUCAACCUGGGAACUGCAUUCGAAACUGGCAGGCUUGAGUCUUGUAGAGGGGGGUAGAAUUCCAGGUGUAGCGGUGAAAUGCGUAGAGAUCUGGAGGAAUACCGGUGGCGAAGGCGGCCCCCUGGACAAAGACUGACGCUCAGGUGCGAAAGCGUGGGGAGCAAACAGGAUUAGAUACCCUGGUAGUCCACGCCGUAAACGAUGUCUACUUGGAGGUUGUGCCCUUGAGGCGUGGCUUCCGGAGCUAACGCGUUAAGUAGACCGCCUGGGGAGUACGGCCGCAAGGUUAAAACUCAAAUGAAUUGACGGGGGCCCGCACAAGCGGUGGAGCAUGUGGUUUAAUUCGAUGCAACGCGAAGAACCUUACCUGGUCUUGACAUCCACGGAAGUUUUCAGAGAUGAGAAUGUGCCUUCGGGAACCGUGAGACAGGUGCUGCAUGGCUGUCGUCAGCUCGUGUUGUGAAAUGUUGGGUUAAGUCCCGCAACGAGCGCAACCCUUAUCCUUUGUUGCCAGCG